GUCUGUGUGAAACAUUCUGAAGAGAGAUUGUGAAACCAGAACAGAUGAUUGUUGUUGUAACACUUGUCCCAUUUCAUGCUUGCAGUUACUGUAAAGAAAACAACCUGUAACAUGAGUCUGUGUGAAACAUUCUGAAGAGAGAUUGUGAAACCAGAACAGAUGAUUGUUGUAACACUGUCCCAUUUCAUGCUUGCAGUAAACACCCAAGAAAAGGCAUUACUGGUGUUUGUCCUUAUUCGAGGUUGAUCCUUUGGUGCAUCCAGUGUUCC